rnacentral:rRNA from 1 species
CUAUUCUUUCUUUCUGUGAACUUAUCUAUUGCUUUGGGUGGGUUGUGUUUUCAACACUCCUCACCCAAAUUUUAAAACACUAAACAUUUUAUUGAUUGUCUGACAGAUUAAAUAAAAAAAUUAAUCAAAACUUUCAACAACGGAUCUCUUGGUUCUCGCAUCGAUGAAGAACGCAGCAAAACGCGAUAUGUAAUGUGAAUUGCAGAAUUUUGUGAAUCAUCGAAUUUUUGAACGCACAUUGCGCCCUUUGGUAUUCCAAAGGGCAUACCUGUUUGAGCGUCAUUUCUUUCUCAUUUUAAAUGGUUUUGUGUACUUUCCUUUUCGAAGGAUUAUACUAAAUGUAAUGGCAUGAUUGUUUCUUGUGAAAGCGUUUUAGGUUUACCAACUACGUGAAGUAACAGGCAAACAGUGAUCAGGCCCUACAACCUCACUUUUUAAAAAUUUGACCUCAAAUCAGGCAGGAAUACCCGC